AAACCAUACAUCUGACUGCCCUGUUACUCCAAGCACCUUUACACGGCAGUGGCAGCACUGCCAUCUUUCAGUCUCCUUGCAGAGCUGAGAAGUGACACAUCACCUGAGAAUAACUUCUUCACCUUCCUGUACUGCUGGAAAGCAUAUAGUGAAGUCGCACGAGAAUCUUGAAGACAACUUUUGGUCAUAAAAAGUCAGCCACCAAAAUCAGUUUUUCACAGCAACACAUGAGUUGAUAUGAAGGAAAAAGCCUCUCCGUUCUACAAGAAAACCUUUGGAGGGAACGACUCCAGCAAAGCUGACAGCCUGGCAGAUACCUGAGGGUUGAAGGAGCAGCAGACCAUACUCUAGCCUCCCUUUCCCCAGAGAAUGCUCCAGCUAGUAGAAUGUUGUAGGGAAACAUCAUUCAUUCCCCUUGCCUUCACCAUCCUUUUCUGUUUCCCUAAGCUAUGAGGGAACAGAAGACUGUCCUCAGGCAAACUGAAAACUCAGACACUGUUUAAGCAAGAAUCAAUAGGUAAAACCAGAUAAGCCAAAAGACUGCCAGAAAGAAAAACCAAACCAAACCAAACAAUAAAACUCAACCCUGGGAGUAAACAGAGGGAGAGGGAAAAUCUUUUGAGAUACAGCUGACUAGGAGAGGACUUGGAGCUGUGAGCGUGUGGAUGGCUCAUAACCUCCUAGUGUUCCUGGUGUACUCAAGGAAAAUUGGACAAGGCCACAAUCUUAUGUAAUGGCACUUAUAGCGUAUAAUCUUACUACUUGGUGCAAUUUCACUGAUGGGGGAACACAACACGAGUCUUCAUAUAUAUUAUUAAAGUGUACAGCACAGUCAAAGUGCUCUCAAAAACAGAAUCCCAAAAUACAUCUUUAGUUUUGUUUACAGUGGUCUUUUUCUUCUGCACAGCUCUUUAGGACAUCUAUUACUAGUUAUUU